rnacentral:rRNA from 1 species
AGUCGAGCGGCAGCGGAAGUAGCUUGCUACUUUGCCGGCGAGCGGCGGACGGGUGAGUAAUGUCUGGGAAACUGCCUGAUGGAGGGGGAUAACUACUGGAAACGGUAGCUAAUACCGCAUGACCUCGAAAGAGCAAAGUGGGGGAUCUUCGGACCUCACGCCAUCGGAUGUGCCCAGAUGGGAUUAGCUAGUAGGUGAGGUAAUGGCUCACCUAGGCGACGAUCCCUAGCUGGUCUGAAAGGAUGACCAGCCACACUGGAACUGAGACACGGUCCAGACUCCUACGGGAGGCAGCAUUGGGGAAUAUUGCACAAUGGGCUCAAGCCUGAUGCAGCCAUGCCGCGUGUGUGAAGAAGGCCUUAGGGUUGUAAAGCACUUUCAGCGAGGAGGAAGGCAUCAUACUUAAUACGUGUGGUGAUUGACGUUACUCGCAGAAGAAUCACCGGCUAACUCCGUGCCAGCAGCCGCGGUGAUACGGAGGGUGCAAGCGUUAAUCGGAAUUACUGGGCGUAAAGCGCACGCAGGCGGUUUGUUAAGUCCGAUGUGAAAUCCCCGCGCUUAACGUGGGAACUGCAUUUUGAAACUGGC